AGCAGCAGCCGCGGGAAUACGUAGGUGGCAAGCGUUGUCCGGAAUUAUUGGGCGUAAAGGGCUCGCAGGCGGUUUCUUAAGUCUGAUGUGAAAGCCCCCGGCUCAACCGGGGAGGGUCAUUGGAAACUGGGAAACUUGAGUGCAGAAGAGGAGAGUGGAAUUCCACGUGUAGCGGUGAAAUGCGUAGAGAUGUGGAGGAACACCAGUAGCGAAGGCGACUCUCUGGUCUGUAACUGACGCUGAGGAACGAAAGCGUGGGGAGCGAACAGGAUUAGAUACCCGGGUAGUCCCUGUCUCUUAUAA
rnacentral:rRNA from 1 species